UACGGCCGCAUCACGUUGAAACAUCGGUUCCCCUAAGCUCACCGAGGUUAAGCAAUGUUGUGCCUGGUCAGUACCUAGGUGGGUAAUAGCUUGAGAAUACCAGGUGUUGUAA